AUACAAUAGGCUUUCCACAGAAAAGUGGAAAGACCUAAUAAUAAAUAUAAAGCAAUUGUUUUGAAAACAAUUGUUAGGCAGUCUUUCCCCUCUGAUGAAUGGAUAAUUGAUUUUUUUUUAUUGAUUGAUUUGGAAAAGGGGGGGGGGUAUUUGUUUAUUUGUUUGUUUGUUUGCUUUGGUAUGGGGUCUAUAUUAUUAUGUUACCGGAGAAGUUUCAUGUUUAGUUUGGAAAGUUUUUUCUUUUUUAUUUAGAUACAGCGCGCGCGCAAGAUUGAGGAGACAUCACGUGACGCGGGUUUAUAUUAAGAAAAACUUAGUCUUUUAAUUUCUUUUUAGGUCGGGACCUUGAACAGACAACAUGUCUAGAGAUGGAAUGUACACAAUGUAAUUUUCUUUUGUCAUUGUAGGAAAUUGACAUUUUUGAUCACAGUUCACCAGCAGUGCAUGUUUUGGAUUUAAUCGAUCCGGUGUAACUUUAAAACACAUUUAAUGAUUAUUUUUUGAUAAUGUCCAUUUUUCAGCACCUGUUUGUAACACAGAUUAGUAUUUCAAUCUCGGAGCGGACAUUUUAUUGUAGGUUUUUACUGAGAUUUGACGGACCUAGCAAGCGAUUUUUACUGCAUUGCCAUUUCUUUUUUCUAGGAAAAGUCUUGAGAGAUAUCUGCAAAAAGUUUUUUAUGAACCUUCAGUACAUGUAUGCCCUGCUGACUGCAAAUUUUCAGGUCGAUUGGACUUGUAGUUUCAGAGAAUAUGUGGAUUUUUUUUUUCAGAAGAGACGUAAGAACAAUAAUAAAAUAAAAAUUUUCUUGAAUAAUUGAGAGUUUGUUCCUUCAAUAAACUGUCAUAAAUAAACAGUCAUACAUAUUGAUUGAUUGAUUAGUUGGUUGAUUGAUUGAUUGAUUGGUUGGUUGGUUGGUUGGUUGGUUGGUUGAUUAAACACGUUUGAUAGGGUCACUUAGAACAAGGGGAAAAAGACCUCAAGAGACCUUGCAUCCCGUAUUAUUAAACGCAUGACACGGAAACAUACAUUAAGUGAUUGAUUGGUUGGUUGGUUGGUUGGUUGGUUAAACACGUUGGUUAAACAUGUUGGUUUAACACGUUGGGUUAAACAACGUUGGCUGGUUAAACACGUUUGAUAGGCUCAAUUUAAACAAGCAAAAAAAAACCAUCUGUGAUCCCGUAUUUAACACAUGAAACGGAAACAUGCAUUGAUUGAUUUUUGGUUGGUUGGUUGGUUAAACACGUUGGUUAAACACGUGGUUAAACAGGCUCGAAAAAAUUGGAUCCCGUAUUUAACACAUGAAACGGAAACAUGCAUUGAUUUAUUAUUGAUUGGUUGGUUGGUUGGUUGUUUUAAACACGUUGGUUAAACAUGUUGGUUAAACAUGUUGGUUAAACACGUUUGUUAAACACGUUGGCUGGUUAAACACGUGAUAGGCUCAAUUUUAACAAUUAAACACGUUUGAUAGGCUCAAUUUUAACAAGCGAAAAAAAACCAUCUUGGAUCCCGUAUUUAACACAUGAAACGGAAACAUGCAUUGAUUGAUUGAUUGGUUGGUUGGUUGGUUGGGUUGGUUAAACAAGUUGGUUAAACACGUUGGUUAAACACGUUGGUUAAAACACGUUGGCUGGUUAACACGUUAGAUAGGCUCAAUUUAAACAAGCGAAAAAAACCAUCUUGGAUCCCGUAUUUAACACAUGAAACGGAAACAUGCAUUGAUUGAUUGAUUGAUUGAUUGGUUGGUGGUUGGUUGGUUGGUUGGUUGGUGGUUAAACACGUUGGUUAAACAUGUUGGUAAACACGUUGGUGGUUAAACACGUUAGAUAGGCUCAAUUUAAACAAGCGAAAAAAAAAACAUCUUGGAUCCCGUAUUUAACACAUGAAACGGAAACAUGCAUUGAUUGAUUGAUGCUUGGUUGGUUGAUUGGUUGGUUGGUUGGUUGGUGUUGGUUGGUUAAACACGUUGUUUAAACAUAGUUGGUUAAACAUGUUGGUUAAACACGUUUGAUAGGCUCAAUUAAAACAAGCGGAAAAAAAGAGACCUUGAAUCCCGUAUCAAACACAUGAAACGGAAACAUUGAUUGAUUGAUUGAUUGAUUGAUUGAUUGAUUGAUUGAUUGAUUGGUUGGUUGGUUGGUUGGUUGGUUGGUUGGUUGGGUUGGUUUGGUUGGUUGAAAUUCAAACACACAUAAAACUGUUUAAAUAGUGCCAAAACCACAUAAUUUGAUGACCUUGACCUUUGACCUUGUGACCCUUCGUCAAGGUCAUUGCUCCACAAGGUCAUUGCAAAAGACCCUAUGGGUCAAGGACCUUUUGUUUAAGAGUUUUGCCUAAAAAUGGCUUUUUAAAAACCAUCGAUGGGAGUUAUGUCCCUUACAUGAUGGUAAAAUCAAUAUAGUCAUAAUGUAAAAAAGUUGCCCUUGAAGUACUUAAGCAUUUUUCACUGCUUAAUUUUUUCUGUAUCUAUAACCAUUCAAGAAUUAUAGGGAAAUCAAAAGACAUAUGAAAAAUCUAAAAUAUGACCUUUGACCUUGACCUAAUUUUCUAAGUUAGGAAUCCAGGGGACUCAAAUAAAAACAUUCCAGGGUUAUACGGUUAACGGUUAUGAGUUAAAAAACAUACCGACAAAUUUAUUCCGUAAAGAUAGAUAACUCCUAUAAAAUUUCAUCGAAUCGCUUCGAUCCAAAUUAGCCAAAAUUUUCUGAGGAUGUAACGAACAAUUUUGUAAAAAGAAUUUUGUCGUUAUCUUUUUUUUUACGAAGGAGAUGCACAACAUGAUAAACAGUGAAUAGGGAGAUAACUCUUACAAGAGAAAAUUGUUCGUCUUAGCAGGGUGAAAUUUAAAAGCGCAUAAACUAUACGAUAACAAUAUGAGAAAUAUCUAAGCGACAUAUUGCGAAACAAACAUUUAUCGCAAGAACAAAUUUGGCGGAAAAAAAAAAAAAAUAAUAAUAAGAUAAUCAGAACAAAAUAGCCAAUAGCUUCCACAGAGAAGUGGAAAGACUAAAUAAAUAUAUGGACUAAAACUGGAGUUGUCGUUCGUUUUACGUGGAUAGGAAAGAUAGUACACAACUACAUUACAGUUUUGUAAGGAGGUAAAAAAAAAGGGGGGGGGCACGGGGGUUCGGGAGAUUUUUUUUUUUUUUAAAUUAAGGGAACAGAAUGGUUAAAAAGGUUUUACAAUAUAUAAUCAAUUGCUUUAAAAAAGCAAUUGUAGGGGGUCUUUCCCCCUGUAAAAUUAAUUGAAAUGGGGGGUGUUUGUUUGUUUGUUUGUUUGUUUGUUUCUGUAUGGGUCUAUAUUAUUGUUACCGGAGAAGUUUCAUUUUAGUUUGGAAAGUUUUUCUUUAUUUUAGUACAGCGCGCGCGCCACAUCACGUGACACGGUUUAUAAUAACGAAAAGAUAGUCUUUUAUUCCUUUUAGGUGGGGACUUUGAACAGACAACAUGUAUAGAGACGGAUACACACAAUGUAAUUUCUUUGUCAUUUGUAGAAAUUGACAUUUUUGAUGACAGUUUUCAAAGCAGUGGCAUGAUUUGGAUUUAAUUGAUCCGGUAAACUUUAAAAACAUUUUAUUGAUUAUUUUCUGAUAAUGUACAUUUUUCAGCACCUGUUUGUAACACAGAUUAAGUAUUUCAAUCUCGGAGCGGACAUUUUAUUGUAGGUUUUUACUGAGAUUUACGGACCUAGCAAGCGAUUUUUACGCAUUGCCAUUUCUUUUCUCUAGGAAAAGCUUUGAGAGAUAUCUGCACCAAGUUUUUUUAUAAACUUUCAGUACAUGUAUGCCCUGCUGACUGCAAAUUUUGAAGUCGAUUGUACUUGUAGUUUCAGAGUACAUGUGGAUUUUUUUUCAGAAGUGACGCAAGAACAAUAUUGAAUUUCGAUUUUUCAUGAAACAUGAUUUAUUGAUCAUGAUCAUGAUUGAUUGAUUGAUUGAUUGAUUGGUUGGUUGAUUAGUUGGUUGGUUGGUUGGUUGG
rnacentral:lncRNA from 1 species